UGAGUGUGAUCGGAGGGUUGUGAUCUAUGUGAAGCCACAGGGGCUGCCCUCAGGGGCCCUCCGCCCUAACGCCCCUCCCCUUCUCCGACCGCCGCUCUAGCUGCCUCUCCAGAAGGUUUCAAUCACAUAGAAAUCCCAUCGCUUCUCUUUCUCUUUACCGUUUCCUCGCCGUUUACCCUACGGAUAGAAAAGCUAUUCCAAGGGUUCAAGAACGGGAUCAUCGAAGGAGACAGGAGAUGCAAGGGGGGAAGGAUGAUGAGGAAAAGGUUCUGCGGUGCCAAAUCAACGAAUGGUACCCCAUGUUCAAGCCUCAUACUAUUCGCACCCUCUUCCACCCCCUCCCCGAUCCGUUCCUCCGCUACCUCCUCGGUCUCAACCCCGUCUCCCCACCUCCCCACGCCGACUCCCACAGCGACGACGACGAUGACGCGCCGCCGCCGUUCCUCCUUCCCCGUCCCGCGUCCGGCCGCGACCCCCUUCCUCGCCCCGCCGCCGGCAUUGACCCCACCUCCCUCCUCGACUGCUCGUCCCAGCUUUCCGUAUCCGACGAAGACGAAGCGGAAGCUGACUCCGCCCCGUCGUUUCCCGAGCUAGAGGCGGCGGUCGAGCGGUCCAUUACCGCCCUAGGCGGCGCCGCCUUCCCCAAGUUGAACUGGAGCGCACCCAAGGACGCCGCCUGGAUCUCCGCCGACGGCACCCUCCGCUGCUCCUCCUUUGCCGACGUUGCUCUCCUCCUUCACUCCUCCGACUCCAUCGCCCACGACCUCUCUUCCCACCCACUCCCCUCCUCCUCCUCCUUCCCACUCUUCACCUUUUACCUUGCCCUCCGCAAGUGGUACCCUUCUCUCCGCCCCGAGAUGGAGUUCCGCUGCUUCGCCCGCUGCCGCCGCCUCAUAGCCAUAUCCCAGCGCGAAGUCACCAACUUCUACCCCGCCCUUCUCGACCACCGCCACCACAUCCUGCCGCUCAUCCAGACCUUCUUCUCCGAGGUCGUGGGUCCCACGUUCGAGUCUCAGAACUACACCUUCGACGUUUAUGUCACCAGUGACGGGCGGGUGAAGCUUAUCGACUUCAACCCAUGGCGCGCCUUCACAUUACCCCUUCUCUUUACCUGGGAGGAGUUGGAGGAAGAAGCAUUUAAUUCCAAGGAGGAAGAAGUAGACAAAGAGCAGGGAGAAGAAGAAGCAAGAUUGGUGGAGUUUCGGAUUGUCGAAAGCCAAUGUGGGGUGAGGCCAGGGUUGAAGACGGCUGUGCCUUACGACUACUUGGACACAGGGGAAGGAAGUGGGUGGGAUCAGUUCUUGAGGAGAGCCGACGAAGAGCUGAGGAAGCAGGCCAAGACAACUUUGCACCCCAGUGAUGAUGCUUAAAGAAGAACAAAAGAUCUUUCAGCUUGAUUUCUUAUGGAUUUCUAUCCAGGUUGUAGGUUUUAUUGCUACUGGAUGUUUGGCCUCAUUUCUAUCUUCCAGGUUUGAAAUUAUGGGGGCUGGCUCUACUGAACAUUAUACCGGGCAAAGUCUGAGGACAGAUGUCAUGAGGAAUCAGUUGCCAACAAGCCAUUAACUGCAUGUACAGGUCCAACUUGCUUCAGAAGUCUAUCAAUCAACUGAGGGCUUUGUUCGAGUACAACACUAGUCAGGAUUUGUGGUUUUAAAAUGACAGGAAGAAAGAAUUCGUCAUCGACAGGAAGAAAGAAUUCGUCAUUGACAGGAAGGUAAUGCAUCAUCUUCAUCGGACUCGUUAUGACACAUAGAGGCCUUUCGAACCAGAAUUUACAGAAGAGCAGCAAUCACGCUUUGGCUCACUGGAGAUGUCUCCGGACAGACUAAUGCCUCCUGUUUGCAGUCUGCUGGACAAGAUAGCAAUUCAAACAAGUAAACUUCCCUGUAGACUCAAACCCUGAAAGCCGUGGUAGAAGGAAGUGCCAAAACAUUUUAAUUUCUCUGAUACACUGCAUCCUAUAGCGAGGAAAUGAAGCUUCGUCUAUUUGUACAGGCCAAAAGACACAGAGGAGCGAACAUGGUGAGGAUUCGGAAGGCGGUGCCAAGGAAGGCAAGGGGCUCCUUAGCGGCGUGGGCACCGCCGAGACUCGUCGCCCAGUUCUUUUCUGAGCCUACAUAAAUGUAAUCCUCAAUCUGACUUUAGUUGAAGAC